AAGGAUUUAAGUUAAAAUAAACUUAUAGCCUUCAAAGCUAAAAAUAAAGAUUCUUUAAGCCUUA
rnacentral:tRNA from 1 species